rnacentral:rRNA from 1 species
GACGAACGCUGGCGGCGUGCUUAACACAUGCAAGUCGAACGCUGAAGCUCAGCUUUUGUUGGGUGGAUGAGUGGCGAACGGGUGAGUAACACGUGAGUAACCUGCCCCCUUCUUUGGGAUAACGCCCGGAAACGGGUGCUAAUACUGGAUAUUCACUGGUCUUCGCAUGGGGGUUGGUGGAAAGGGUUUUUCUGGUGGGGGAUGGGCUCGCGGCCUAUCAGCUUGUUGGUGGGGUGAUGGCCUACCAAGGCUUUGACGGGUAGCCGGCCUGAGAGGGUGACCGGGCACAUUGGGACUGAGAUACGGUCCAGACUCCUACGGGAGGCAGCAGUGGGGAAUAUUGCACAAUGGGCGCAAGCCUGAUGCAGCGACGCCGCGUGAGGGAUGGAGGCCUUCGGGUUGUGAACCUCUUUCGCUCAUGGUCAAGCCGCAACAAUGGUUGUGGUGAGGGUAGUGGGUAAAGAAGCGCCGGCUAACUACGUG